AAAAAAAUGGACUUAGUGGGUCUUUGAAUUUAAAUAAAAUAAACAUGUAUAUGCAACACAAAAUAUUUAUAUUCCUUGUGUAAACAUAAUUUAAUUGAUUAGGAUUAAAAUGUUUUGUUUGAAUGUAAAAUGAACACAUUAUUCUCACAUUGAUUAAAAUUGAUUGAAUUGAAUACUUAAAGCAAUAAAAUUGGGUUUGCACACAAAACGGCACCCCCUGAGCAGCAGGUGGCAGUAUAGCUCAAUGAAAGGACGUCAUUUUCCAUAAAAGAAGAAUAAAGAUCGUUUAUUUGGGCGCCAAAAUGAAGAGUCAGCAGCAGUCAGUCAGAAGAACUCUCUCAGACGGACACCACGUUAUUAAAGUAAGUUCUAUUAUUUAUUUAUGUUCGCUUCAUACGUGAUAUAUCUUCACUAGAUAGACUAUUCUUUGUUUACAAUAUGUAGCCAUUGCAAUGACUUGUAGUAAAUAUUAGUUUGGAGGAGGUUGGUGGAGUAAGUUAACAGUCAGUCAAGCUCAUAAAGAAAAACACAGCGUUUUAAAAACGUCAGCUGUUUAACGUUAUUUCACGUUUGGUAGUUUUAUCUGAGUUGAAAACUGUCAGCUUUGAGUUGACUUUUGAGGCACUUUUUACUCAGCUGUUCUAUGGAAACGUGUCAGGACAAAUAAAACGCUAACCAAAAGUUAUUCUGUCCAGAGUAACGUUAUCCAUGUAAGUAAUUUACCAGAUGAUAUCAAUUGACUACAUUAAUAAUGACAUUGCGUAUGAAACAAACUGUCUGCUUAAUCAGAUUAUCAGACCCGCGUCAGUUAUUCGUGACUUCGCUGCGCCACGAGCAACACUUGAUUCUAUUAGAAAAAGCUUUUUUAAAUGUCUUGCGUGACGUCUGGUAUAUUAACUGAAAAAAAAUCGCUUUGAAGUGGCCACACCUUAAAGCUGACGUUUUCAGAAGAGAACCUUGUUUUAAGAUCUCAUUUUGUCCAACAUUGCGUCCUAUGACAGAUAUAAUACUUAUUUCAUUAUUGCUCUGUGUAUGUGUGACCUUCAUCAUUUGAGGUUAUGUGUUGAUUUCACCUCUGAAUAUUUCUUUUUUUAGGUCCAUCAUCCUUGCAUGCGCUAUACACUCAAAGCAUUGAUAAAUGCUGAAUUUAAAAGAAUCACUACUGUCUUAUGUUCCUGCGUGUCACCUGGACCUCCAAUCCAAAAACCUGAUGAAACUCUUCUAUCAGAAAGGAGGACAGCUAGCAAAAAGACUUCAAACAAUUAAUGAUCAAAUGACAGAAGGCAUGGAUGAAGUCAGCAUCAGUGUGGUCAUUUGAAGACACCAAUGUUGGGAUUUGUGCUCUCAAACAACAUGCUUCUUGUGAUGAAGAAGAGGAUCUUUGUAUAGUCCUGGAAGCCAUGAAGGUGUUGCAACAUCGUGCCAUGUUGUUUGAGCUGAUGUAUGCCUUAAACCUGAGCUAUCCUGAUCUCCGCUUUAUUUUUGAGGAAAUCCAAAAGAUUUUAAUGGAACUGCAUUGAGAGUAACUUUAACAAACUGUUUCUUUCAGUGAAAGGAUCAGAAAGACUGUGCUGCUCAUUUUUGACUUUGUUUAUCUGUUUUAAGUGUUUUCUCUUAUUAAUACAUUAACAGUUUGCUGCUCAGAGUCGAUUUUGGAAAUGGUUGUUGUAUUUUGUUUUUAAUUAAUCUUUGAUUAACAGUUUAUACAAAUGCUGUAGCUCUGACUUUCUGAAGGAUUGAUAUUUUCCAGUUUGUAAAUCCAUUUUAAAAAUAAUAGUAAUUUCACAGAUGGGGCUUUUCCUAGUCCCAGACUUUUGCAAUGCCAUAUAUCAGUGCCAUUGUUUUGUCUAAAGAUGUACUCCAGUGUUGUUUUUGUAAGGUAGGUUUGUUUGUAAACAUUUUUGUAAAAAUCCUAAUAUAAAUAGGGCCUAGUCAUGGAUUAAUCUACAACCUGUUUGGGAAAUUGCCCCUUUAUGUAUGUACUGCAUGUGCUGAUUGUUGUAAUAGUUAUUGACUGUUAAUGAAUUAAUGUGUAAUGAUUUAAAUGAAUUGAUGAUCUGAAAGCAGUGGUUUGCCUCAAUAUCACUAAAUAUUUGUACAAAACUCUUUGCUUUUUAUGCCAAUGCAAAUGUAUUUUGUAUUUAAAAAACAAUAAAUAACAUUUGGAUAAUUAUGGAUGAUUAUUCUGGUGCCAGAGACAUAAUGAAAUUGCUUUAGAGUUACAUAAUCCCAUAAUAUAAGCAUUAAAAAAAGCAUGUUGGAAUUACAGAUGAAAAUCUAGUCCCCUUACAUAAUAAAAUUACUUAAACAUUACAAAAUAAAUGUGUUAUAGUAAAGAGAAAUAGCAC